GACCGCGUAGCUCAGUUGGAAGAGCAUUGGGCUAGUAUUCCAAAGGUCGUAGGUUCGAAUCCUACCGUGGCA
rnacentral:tRNA from 1 species